UAACUUCUUCAUACGAACUCCGUUUUCGACGUUCUUUAUAUCCACGCGAAGGUGAGACCACGCUCUACGACUUUCGUUUAGACUCCGUCGGCUAAUUUUGACUUUAUUUUUAUUAAUUAUUUUUAAUAGGCCGGGACAGAAACUUUCGUUAUAAAUUCAUAACUUCUUCGUUUGACGUCCGUUCUCGCCUAACUUUUUAUCGUUUCAAUACCAACAAUGAGAUCUUCGAUUCUCAUUUAGAUUGCUUCGGCUAACAACCGCUCGAUCUCAAAUCGAGUAAAACAGGCUGUAUAUCGCUAAGCCGGAACUUCGAUAAAUCAUAACUUCCUCAUACGAAGUCAGAUUUGGGCGUUCUAUAUAUAUUCGGAAACCUCGUUUCAACUACUACAACAUUAACCAAAGAUAUUAAGUUUAUUUUACACUUAAAUUUUGACGCUUAUUUUUAUUCUUAAUUAAUCAAACCACAUAAUUAAGCAAUUAAGCACAAAACACAUAAUACUCAAAUAAUACAAUCUUAUUAUUUCAAAACGGGUUACAAAGGUUAACCUAGACUAUUACAUUGCUAAAAAUGGCAAGCCCGGAAACACAGGCGUUACAAUUCUCUCCACCUUAGAAUGAUUCCGUCCCCGGAAUCACACAUCAACAAACAAAUGCGGAUAGCGACUCAACAUGUCACUCUCCGUCUCCCAGGUGAGAUUCGGCCCAUUCGUGUGUUUCCAUCGGACAAGCACUAACCCAACCAUUUUGCGUCGCAACUUCUUAGUCUUUCGGUCAACAAUUGCCUCUGGUUCUUCAAUCAACCUUUUGUUCUCAUCAAUUCUCAAUUCAGAAAUUGGAAUUAUAUCGGGAACUUCUCCCGUGAACUUCCUCAAAUAACACACAUGAAAGGUGUUGUGAAUUCCAUUCAGUUCUUCGGGUAAUUCGAGCUUGUAAGCUUGAUUCCCAAUCCUCUGAAGGACUUUAAACGGUCCAAUAAACCUUGGACUCAACUUUCCCCUUUUACCAAAUCUUAUAAGUCCCUUCCACGGCGAGACUUUAAGCAAAACCGAAUCUCCAACCUCAAAAGUCAUCGGUCUUCGCUUCUUGUCAGCAUAGCUCUUUUGACGAUCUUGAGCUGCUAACAUUCUUUCCCUAAUUAUUUUCAACUUUUCAGCAGUUUGAUGAACCAUCUCCGGUCCCAUAAACUGCUUUUCCCCAGCCUCAAGCCAACAAGACGGCGUACGACACUUCUGUCCAUACAAAGCUUGAUAAGGUGCCAUCUUAAUGCUCGAGUGAAAACUAUUAUUAUAGGAAAAUUCUACCAACGGUAAAUGUUCAUCCCAAUUACCUAGGAAUUCCAAGGUACAUGCUCUCAGCAUAUCUUCAAGUGUUUGUAUUGUUCUUUCACUCUGACCAUCAGUCUGCGGAUGGUAAGCUGUGCUUAAACAUAACUUGGUACCCAUUUCCUCUUGUAGACUUUUCCAAAACCUUGAGGUGAAACGGCUAUCACGAUCCGAUACAAUCGUUAACGGAACACCGUGAAGCCUCACAAUUUCCUUCACGUAAGAAUUCGCAAGCUUUUCCAUAGACCAUUUCUCCCUGGCCGCUAUGAAAUGCGCACUCUUAGUGAAUCGAUCAACGACCACCCAAAUCAUGUCGUGACCAUUCUUUGUUCUGGGCAGUUUAGUGACAAAAUCCAUAGCAAUGUCUUCCCACUUACCCAUAGGCACAGGCAAUGGUUCUAAACUCCCGUAAGGUUUCUGAUGUUGUGUCUUGACUCUCGCACAAGUCACACACUCGGCCACAUACUUUGCAACAUCAAGCUUCAUCGUCGGCCACCAGUAGUAGGGUUUCAGGUCCCUAUACAUUUUAGUGCUACCCGGAUGAAUUGAGUACAUGGUUUUGUGAGCUUCUUCCAUCAGAAGAUCCCUAAUUCCUCCUGACUUAGGUACCCAAAUACGAUCUUGGAAUACCUUCAGUCCAUGACCGUUAGUACCAAACACCAACGUUUUACCCAAACGUUCCUCCUUUCGGUCAUUUUUCUCAGAAGCUUCCUCUUGAGCUUUCUUUAUACUUUCCACAAUAGUCGAGACAACUUCAAUUCUCAACGCUCUUGGCCUCUUCCUUUCAAGAUUGACUUUCCGACUGAGAGCAUCAGCAACAACAUUAGCUUUACCGGGGUGGUAAAGUAUCUCGCAGUCGUAGUCUUUAAGUAAUUCUAGCCAGCGUCGUUGCCUCAUAUUCAAUUCUUUCUGAUUAAAGAGGUAUUGGAGACUCUUAUGAUCAGUGAAAAGUUUGCACUUCGUGCCAUAGAGGUAAUGCCUCCAUAUUUUCAGAGCGAAAACUACCGCUGCCAACUCCAAAUCAUGAGUCGGGUAAUUCUUUUCAUGCUCUUUCAGCUGUCGAGACGCAUAUGCUAUCACCUUUUCUCUUUGGGUCAAAACACAACCCAAUCCAACACCAGACGCAUCGCUAUAAACAGCGAAGUCUUCAACUCCAUCGGGUAGAGAAAGUAUCGGUGCCUCGCAUAGCUUCUUCUUUAACUUCUCGAAUGCUUCUUUAUGCUUCUCACUCCAAGCAUAAGUAGCUCCUUUGUGGGUCAAAGCUGUUAAUGGAGUAGCAAUCGAAGAAAAGCCUUGGAUAAACCUUCGGUAAUAUCCGGCUAAUCCUAAAAAGCUUCGAAUCUCCGUGGGACUUUUCGGUUGUUCCCACUUCGUCACAGCUUCGAUCUUCGCUGGAUCAACCAUUAUCCCUUCUUGGUUGACCACGUGACCCAAGAAUUGGACCUCACGAAUCCAAAAAUCACAUUUGGAGAACUUCGCAUAAAGCUUCUCCUUCUUCAAAACUUCUAACACUUCUCGCAAGUGUCUGCCAUGCUCCUCCUGGCUUUUCGAGUAGAUCAGAAUGUCGUCUAUGAACACUAUCACGGAUUUAUCAAGGAAAGGAUUACAAACCCUAUUCAUCAAAUCCAUGAACGCUGCUGGAGCAUUGGUUAGUCCAAACGACAUAACCAAGAACUCGUAGUGUCCAUAUCUAGUUCUGAAUGCAGUCUUCUCGAUAUCUUGCUCUCUUACUUUCAGCUGAUGAUAUCCUGACCUAAGAUCGAUCUUCGAGAAAUAGCUCGAACCUUGCAAUUGAUCAAACAGGUCAUCAAUCCUCGGCAACGGAUAUCUAUUCUUUAUUGUUGCCUUGUUCAGCUCUCUGUAAUCGAUGCACAUUCUCAUACUUCCAUCUUUCUUCUUUACAAAUAACACCGGAGCUCCCCAGGGCGAUGAACUAGGUCUAAUGAAACCUUUGUCCAAUAACUCCUGAAGUUGCAUCAUCAGCUCCUUCAUCUCCGUCGGUGCUAAUCGAUAAGGUGCUUUUGCUAUUGGCGUGGUUCCUGGUAACAAGUCUAUUCUGAACUCCACUUGUCUAUCAGGUGGUAAUCCAGGAAGAUCCUCGGGAAAUACUUCCGGAUAAUCACACACCACUGGAAUGCUCUGCAUCACCUUCUUUUCUUUCUUAGCAUCAAUCACGAAUGCUAAAUAUGAUGUACAUCCCUUGGUCAAACACUUUCUGGCUUUCAUUAGAGAAAUGAUUCCAGAAUUCACUCUGCGUUUGUCCCCAUACACCAUAAACGAAUCUUUCCCAGGCGGGUUUACUUUAACUAUCUUCUUCUUGCACAAAAUUUCGGCAUCAUUGGCGCUAAGCCAAUCCAUUCCCAAGACGAUGUCGAAACCAUUUAGUUCGAUAGGCAAUAAUUCCUCGAGAAACUUAUUCCCAUUAAGGUCGAUCAAGACGUUUUUCAUACGAUGGCUAACAGGUACAAACUUGCCACUAGCUACUUCGACUAAUAAAGCAUUAUCUAGUCUAUCAACAGGCAAAGCUAGCUUUCUACCAAACUCAUGCGAAAUAAAGGAGUAGUUGGCUCCAGAAUCAAACAAUAUAUGAGCAGGUAAUUCGUUUACGAGAAAGGUACCUGAAGCGACAUCAGCUUCAUCUUUCGCAGCCUCAAGUGUCAUCUGGAAGGCUCUCGCCUUCGGCUUUGGUGGAAUGUUGGGCCUAGCUGCCUCCUUCUUCUUCGGACAGUCUUUCAAAAUAUGCCCCUCUUCAUUACACCCAAAACACAUCCUUUUGUUGUUCGGACAUUCAUUGGCAAAAUGUCCAACCUUUCCACACUUGUAGCAGGUCACAUCCUCGCUACAUUUCCCAAAGUGCUUUUUCUUACACUUAUCACACCACUUUGCUUCGCCUCCUUUUCCUCCAAACUUUUUCGAAUCAGAUUUCGAAAAUUUGCUCUUCUUACUGGAACCAGAUGUUCCUUCAAACUUCCUUUUCUCACCAACCUCAACCUUGACGGUGGUUCUCCCCUUGAUCAUGUUCUCCACAGACUUGGCAGCCCAGAUAGCUGCCUCUAGAGUAAGUGCCUGACGUACCGGCACCUCGUACUCCCAUGGAAGUCCCUUCGCAUACCGAUCCACCUUUGUCAGCUCGUCUGGAACGAUACGCAAGGCAAACUCCAUCUUAUCGGUGAAGUUAUUGGUGUACUCAUCCACUGACAUGCUACCCUUCGUCAAUGUCAAAAACUUGUUCUCCAACUCCAACAGAUUUUGAGCCGAGCAGAACUUGCGCUUGAACUGCACCAAGAACUCUGCCCAUGACAAUUGCAGUGGCUCAUUAGGGCUUAAGGUCUUCCCUAGAGUGUUCCACCAACGAACGGCUCCACCUCGGAAUUGUCGCACGGCAUAGAUAGUCUGCAACUUGCCUCUACAGCCACAUGUCAUAAAGGCUAACUCCAUUUCGGAGAUCCAAUCCAUAACCCCAAUCGGAUCCUCCUUUCCAUUGAAGGUCGAUGGUUUACAAGUCAAAAAGUCCUUGUACUUGCAUCCCAUUCCAUCAUUCCUUCCAUCAUGGUUAUCUUGCCUAACUAUCGGUGGGUUGGCUGGACCAACAGACCCACUGAAGUUUCCACCUUCCGAGUGCCCUUCAUUCAGUUCAGGCUCUUCCACACGAAUCGACAGUUCUUCACGAUUUUGUUGAAGCAACCGUCUAGUUUCAUCCAUCUGACGAUCCAACAUCGUCUGAAUCAUCAAUUGCACACCAGCCAUGGUUAUUGGCUCAGGUGCUGCUGCUACGACAGGUAUUGGCUCAAUCACUGGUGGUUGAUUCCUGUUUUCGUCAGCAUUUCCAACUCCACUUCUUGUUCUCACCAUUUUGAUCUACACCGAAUAAGGUGAAAUUAGAUCCUCAAUCAUGAUAGAUAUUCAAAUCAUCCUUAUCACUCCGAAACGUUUACAUGCUAGUUCUAAUAUCGUAGACGUACGCUUAGAAUCCUACACACAUAAGGUUUCUAGAUCCGGUCGGCAACAGACCAUAGAUCCGAACAAAUAAUAUCAUAUAUGGCAACAUAUAACAUUUAGCACAUAAAGCAUUUUAGGCAACUUUCCUAAAAUAAACUAGUGCUCGUGUCUAAAUCACAACAGACACACAUCUCAAAACUUCACUUAGCAUUCUAAGUUUAAGUCUAGAAAUCCUACAAAUUCCUAGUUCGCUUAAACUAAUGCUCUGAUACCAACUGUGACAUCCCCAAAAUCUCGGCCAGAAAAGACCGAUUUUCAUUUAUGCUUUUAAAUAUUUUCAGAGUAAAUCCUUUUGAUUUGAAAGAGUUGCGGAAUUUGUUCCCAAAAACAAAACAUGAUAAAACAUUGUUUACCGAAGCAUUUCAUAAAAGAAAUGUAUUUUCAUUAUAAUCAAAACUCGGGGUGUCAUGUUCCGAUACAGACCAAUAAGCAUAAACGAAUACAUUACAAGUCAUAUAACAAAUAUAAACAUAUGCAGACUUGUAAACAAAACAACUUGAUGGUUCAUCCAUCUCAUGCCCUUCCGCCACUACCUGUAAUACAAUUUAAAACUGAGUGGGUCAGGCUUGGGAGCCUGGUGAGCAUAUAGGGUUUUCAACCCACAAUAAAUAUCAUAUUUAAUUUUCACCAACCAACAAUAACCCAAUUACCCAUUCCCGUUAUUCUCACUUUAAUGUCCCUAAAACAACUAACAUAAGGGACCUAGUCUAAGAAUAUUUCAUCGGGGCGACAACACAUGCUUCGGGGGUACCUCAGCAAUAUAAGUCAAAUAAGGCAACCAUGAGGGGGAUGGAGUACAGCGAAUGAACACCCAAGUUCAUUAACACCUACAGGUGGCGAACCUGCUAAUGUUUCCACAAGACUGUCUAGAAUAGCCAGUGGUCGUCAUCUAAACUCCGCUAGAUGACUCAAUCAAACAACAACGAGGCCUCUCAUCUGUUUAUUACACACCAACUGUCUACCCAUGUUCUACCCAACAUAUUAGUAGAUAAAAAUAUACAUUUGUAUACAUAGUUUAAAGAAAACCUGUAUAGCAUGCUUUAAUCAACACAUAUAUCACAUAACAGAUGAGGCACACACACACAUAACACAUAUCUCAUAAAGAAAUAAGCAGAUCUAUAAGAUAGAAGAGAGUGAAUACUCAUUCACACAUAACACAACCAAAUAUAUACACAUAGCACGUAUUUUUAUAUAAAAUACUUCGUAUUAUUGUAUUAGAAGAAAUAACUACACACUCACUUGAUCAGAAGAUGAUCGGACAGCACUACGGCUUAUAGAAGUAGUAAUCCACAGCAGAUCUGGAAGAUCUCCUCGAAAAUCGAACUUCUCGCGGGCAGAGCUUCGACUCGGGAACCGCACUUUUCGGGAUCUUCGGGAUCUCGGGACUUGCCUCGGGGCUAGAGUAUGAUACCGGGACUUCGGGGUAGCUUCGGGGGUUUUUGCACAGAGCUUCGACACGAAAACGAGAGGGAAUUGGCAAAAAUACCCGGAACCCUCGCAUCCUAUUUAUAGGAGGCUGGAGCCUCGGAGUACGCGGGGCGUACUGCGUUACGCGGGGCGUACUGCCCAAAACGUCAUUGCUUACGUAUCCGAAGUGCUCGAGUGCGAGUGUCGACAUCCCUCGGAGUACGCGGGGCGUACUCGAGUACGCGGGGCGUACCUCGGAUCAGAUCGGUGACUCCUUCGGAUAAUGCUUCCGAAUUUUGAUUUAAAUAUAAAUACAAAAUGAUUAAUAAACUUCGGAAAUUCAUAACUUCUUCAUACGAACUCCGUUUUCGACGUUCUUUAUAUCCACGGAAAGGUGAGACCAUGCUCUACGACUUUCGUUUAGACUCCGUCGGCUAAUUUUGACUUUAUUUUUAUUAAUUAUUUUUAAUAGGCCGGGACAGAAACUUUCGUUAUAAAUUCAUAACUUCUUCGUUUGACGUCCGUUCUCGCCUAACUUUUUAUCGCUUCAAUACCAACAAUGAGAUCUUCGAUUCUCAUUUAGAUUGCUUCGGCUAACAACCGCUCGAUCUCAAAUCGAGUAAAACAGGCUGUAUACCGCUAAGCCGGAACUUCGAUAAAUCAUAACUUCCUCAUACGAAGUCAGAUUUGGGCGUUCUAAAUAUAUUCGGAAACCUCGUUUCAAUUACUACAACAUUAAUCAAAUAUAUUAAGUUUAUUUUACACUUAAAUUUUGACGCUUAUUUUUAUUCUUAAUUAAUCAAACCACAUAAUUAAGCAAUUAAGCACAAAACACAUAAUACUCAAAUAAUACAAUCUUUAUUAUUUCAAAACAGGUUACAGAGGUUAACUUAGACUAUUAUAUUGCUACAAAUGGCAAGCCCGGAAACACAGGCGUUACAGAAACAUACCAGCAACCACAUCCGGUGCUGCCUUAGCCUCCUCAGUUGUAAGCUGGAAAGCACGCCCCUGAGCCUUUAGAGGCUCCACCCUAACUGACCUCCCAUCCGUGAUCCUCAAGGUUGCCAGUGUUGGAUCCUGUGUCGGCUUGGCGGCUAACAAAGCAC
rnacentral:lncRNA from 1 species